CUGAUUCAUCCUUAUAAGAAAGAGGCUAACACACAAACACAAGCAUGAUUAGCAUUCAUGUUCAUAAUCAGUCUGUGUGAUAGCGGCUCGCUGUCAGAGAUGUGCUCAGCACUAGUGAAACAGACGGACCUUCUCUCCGGUCAUGGCGAAGGGAGCGUUGAACCACUGCUCAAACGUGCUGCAGCUCUUGAAGAUGGUGGGCAGCAGGAAGUUGAGCAGCGCCCAGAGCUCGGGCAGCUUGUUCUGCAGCGGGGUCCCGGUCAGAAGCACACGCCGUGGAGCCAGAGACAGAUAUACAUCAUCCCACCAUCACUGCAGUCACAUCCAUCCAUCCAUCCAUCAGGCCAUCCAUCCAUCCAUCCAUCCAUCAGGCCAUUCAUUUACAAACAUGUGUACUGUCGGGGGUGGUGAUGCUGGAGCUGCAGGCAGGGAAACUGCAGGUUAAAACUAUCCAUCUUGUGUUGUUUUCAGCCCAGCUGAUGGGUAAAUAUAGGGCUGAACUAACCUAACCCAUGGAGUUAUGCUGCUCAUCACAGAGUCAGACGGAUGAUGACUGCUCAAACUUGAAUAAGACAAGAAAACUGUACUCGUUUUACUCAAUGUUGUUCAUUUUUUCUUUCAGGAUUUUCUUUGUAUGCAGCUAAACUGAAAACCUGUUGCUGAUAAAAAUGUACAAUUACAAUUAAACUGAACCAGAGAAAGAGAGACAGAGUGUGUUUGUCAUCAACACAUGCUGUGAACGGCCUGAGAGACACAAAGAGCUUUAUACGCUGUGAAGAACAAUAUUCACACUGGCAUCAAUCAGAAUCUGGCUGUCGAUGUAGAGAUCCUUCAUGAGAGGACUGGAUCCGCUGAACGGCACAAACACUGCACUGAAGAACUGAAACACAUGCAGAAAAUGACAAACACGCCGUAACAAAACAAGCAUAUGAUACUGAAGCACAUUAUCAAUAUCAUUAUCAAUUUACUGCAAUGGACAUAAUAAAGAGACACUCUUGAAUUUCUUCUCCCAAAAAACUCACAAUCUUGUGAAGCUGAAGAAUUUAGUGUUUUGAAGGUCAUUGUGUCAUGAAGUGUUUUUGUGUGAUGAUAGUUUGUCAUGUUAUGGUAGAAUAAGAUGAUUUUGAGACACGUACGAAUGGUUGCAGUGUGAUUUAGGACAGG
rnacentral:lncRNA from 1 species